rnacentral:misc_RNA from 1 species
GGUGUUGGCCUUUUAAUCAUAAUGGUGGGCGUGAGUUUAUUCAAUUGGUACAAGUAAGUCAUUAAUCAGUGCAGUCUUGAAAUGAUUUAGUAUUUCUUGUUAUCAAUCCAUUCUUGAAAUAAUUUAGUAUAUCUUGUUAUCAAUUGAUCCAUUUUUUUCUCUAUAGUCAAGUGAAGUUUGUUUCCAUAUUUGCUUUUCUUGGUCUUUAGUUGUUUUUGCAGAUUUUAGCCACAGGAAUGUGUGACUGAAAUUUGACAUUUAGACUAAGAAAUAUAG